CCAAAGCCAGACGUUAACACUUUAAGCACAAAAAAGUCAAAGACAAGGGUUUGCAGAAAAAAAUAAGAAGGCAUUGCAAUUGGGGGAUCAGGGAGUGUCAAGUCUUGACAGUGCUCAGCCCGUUUCAGAAUCAGUGAGCAAUAAUAGUAAAAGUGCAGACCAUCCUUUGUUUGGGAAAGUUUAGGUUCUCAGUAACAGUUUAAUUUCACAGGAAUGCAGUGAAUCACCAAGCCGUCCCCCAAGAGUAGCCUCAUCAGUCGCUGAGUCUGUGAACCUCAAUUUUGAUGAUGACAGUUCUUUUGCCUCUCCGGAUCCCUCAGUUGUUUCCCUCAGUAAUGUUGCAGCCUCAUCCCCUUCACCAAGUACUGAUCCUAUUCAUGUGGUUUCAACUCCAAGCUCAAGUGCUGACUUCAGGCUUGGAGAUAUUAUUUUGCCCGAGAGUCCUUCGCUUGAUUCCUCAUCAAGUGCUAGUGAUUUUCUCACGAGUCCACCAACAAGCAGAAAUGAUGGUUAUUCUCCUGUUGAACUAUUUAAAGUGCCUCAAUUAGAUGUUACAGGGCGUUACUCAUUGAAGAUUCCUCGUAUUGUGUGCCUACCAAAGAUCUGAAGACCGCUGAUCCCAGCAGCGUGCAAGUGGAUGAAGAACUGACCUUGAACUACAACCAUCACACAAAGUCCGGGCGAGUGAUGUUUAUC